GGCUUAGAAGCAGCCAUCAUUUAAAGAGUGCGUAACAGCUCACUGGAAUAGGUAAAGGGCGCAGAAAAUUUAAGGGGCUAAGCUUAUUACCGAAGCCGUGAUUUCUACUCUAUUGAAUUAAAAUAGAGUAGAAAGGUAGGGGAGCAUUCCUUAUGCGAUGAAGAAGAGAUCGAGAGACUCUUUGGAGCAUAAGGAAGAGAGAAUGCCAGCAGGAGUAACCGCAAUCCCGAUGAGAUGUCGGGACGCCGUAAGAGCAAGGAUUCCUUAGCAAUGGAAAUCAUCUAAGGGUUAGGCGGGAACUAAGACAAACCCGAAAGGGUUAGUCGAUGUACAAUUGGUUAAUAUUCCAAUCCCACCCUAAGUUCCGAUGGGAUGACGAAAGAAAUAAGUUCUUGAGCCUUGAUGGCUUGGGCUUUAUUUUAGGUAGAGGGAGAUAAUGGCAAAUCCAUUAUCAAGGGUUUUAACCCAUCCCUCGAAUAAAAUAGGAGAUAAAGCUUAGGCUUUAUCAACAAGAACGAAGAGCUUUCCAAGAAAAGUCUCUAAGGUUAAACUUAGGGUGCCCGUACCGGAAAACCGACACAGGUGCUCGAGGCGAGUAGCCUAAGGCGAACGAGUGAGGCUUCUCCAAGGAACUCGGCAAAAAAGCGGGCGUAACUUCGGGAUAAGCCCUGCCGUGUGAUGAACACGGCCGCAGCGAAAGUUCCUCUGGCGACUGUUUAUCAAAAACACAGCUCCCUGCUCAACUCGUAAGAGGAUGUAUAGGGGGCGAUGCCUGACCAAUGCCGGAAGGUUAAAAAAUUGAGGUAAUUUUGUUUUUAAAACAAAAUUGCCUGCAAUUUUAAGCCCCGGUCAAUGUCGGCGGUAACCCUGACCGUCCAAAGGUAGCGCAAUUCCUUUCCGGGUAAGUUCCGGAGCGCAUGAAAGGCAUAACGACUGGAGGACUGUCUUGGAGAAGUGCUCGGUGAAACUGCGGUCCCCGUGAAGACGCGGGGUAGUGGCUACGGGACGGAAAGACCCCGGGAGCUUUACUGCAACUAGUCAUUGAUAACUAUUUUUAGGUGCACAGCGUAGCGGGGAGGCUAUGAAGCCUUUUCUUCGGGAAAGGUGGAGCCGCCAAUGGAACACCCGCCAUCUAAAGGUAGUUAUCUAAUUCAUUCCAAAAGAAUGAAAACAGUGGCUGGUGGGCAGUUUUUCUGGGGCAGAACCCUCCGAAAGGGUAUUGGAGGGGUUCAAAGGUUAGCUUGUCUUGGAUGGAAACCAAGACUUAAGUGUAAGGGCAAAAGCUAGCCUAACUGCAAGACUUACAAGUCGAGCAGGAGCGAAAGCUGGACCUAGUGACCCGACGGUUCUUUGUAAGAAGGCCGGAGACAACGGAUAAAAGUUACCCCGGGGAUAACAGGCUGGUGUGGCCCGAGAGUUCAUAUCGACGGCCACGCUCGGCACCUCGAUGUCGGCUCACCCUAGCGCGGGGCUGAAGAAGGUCCCAAGCGUCGGGCUGUUCGCCCGUUAAAAGGGUACGCGAGCUGGGUUCAGACCGUCGUGAGACAGGUCG
rnacentral:rRNA from 1 species